rnacentral:rRNA from 1 species
UUUUAUUUGAGAGUUUGAUCCUGGCUCAGGAUGAACGCUGGCGGCGUGCCUAACACAUGCAAGUUGAGCGAUUUACUUCGGUAAAGAGCGGCGGACGGGUGAGUAACGCGUGGGUAACCUACCCUGUACACACGGAUAACAUACCGAAAGGUAUGCUAAUACGGGAUAAUAUAUUUGAGAGGCAUCUCUUGAAUAUCAAAGGUGAGCCAGUACAGGAUGGACCCGCGUCUGAUUAGCUAGUUGGUAAGGUAACGGCUUACCAAGGCGACGAUCAGUAGCCGACCUGAGAGGGUGAUCGGCCACAUUGGAACUGAGACACGGUCCAAACUCCUACGGGAGGCAGCAGUGGGGAAUAUUGCACAAUGGGCGAAAGCCUGAUGCAGCAACGCCGCGUGAGUGAUGAAGGCCUUCGGGUCGUAAAACUCUGUCCUCAAGGAAGAUAAUGACGGUACU